CAGUAGCCACGGUAAUACGUAGGGUGCAAGCGUUAAUCGGAAUUACUGGGCGUAAAGCGUGCGUAGGCGGUGAGUUAAGUCUGCUGUGAAAUCCCCGGGCUCAACCUGGGAAUGGCAGUGGAUACUGGCUCGCUAGAGUGUGUCAGAGGAUGGUGGAAUUCCCGGUGUAGCGGUGAAAUGCGUAGAGAUCGGGAGGAACAUCAGUGGCGAAGGCGGCUAACUGGUCCAUAACUGACGCUGAGGUGCGAAAGCGUGGGGAGCAAACAGGAUUAGAUACCCCCGUAGUCCCUGUCUCUUAUAC
rnacentral:rRNA from 1 species